rnacentral:rRNA from 1 species
AACGUCCGGAAACGGGCGCUAAUACCGCAUACGUCCUACGGGAGAAAGCAGGGGACCUUCGGGCCUUGCGCUAUCAGAUGAGCCUAGGUCGGAUUAGCUUGUUGGUGAGGUAAAGGCUCACCAAGGCGACGAUCCGUAACUGGUCUGAGAGGAUGAUCAGUCACACUGGAACUGAGACACGGUCCAGACUCCUACGGGAGGCAGCAGUGGGGAAUAUUGGACAAUGGGCGAAAGCCUGAUACCAGCCAUUGCCGCGUGUGUGAAGAAGGUCUUCUGGAUUGUAAAGCACUUUAAGUUGGGAGGAAGGGUUGUAGAUUAAUACUCUGCAAUUUUGACGUUACCGACAGAAUAAGCACCGGCUAACUUCGUGCCAGCAGCCGCGGUAAUACGAAGGGUGCAAGCGUUAAUCGGAAUUACUGGGCGUAAAGCGCGCGUAGGUGGUUUGUUAAGUUGGAAGUGAAAGCCCCGGGCUCAACCUGGGAACUGCUUUCAAAACUGGCAAGCUAGGAGUAUGGCAGAGGGUGGUGGAAUUUCCUGUGUAGCGGUGAAAUGCGUAGAUAUAGGAAGGAACACCAGUGGCGAAGGCGACCACCUGGGCUAAUACUGACACUGAGGUGCGAAAGCGUGUGGAGCAAACAGGAUUAGAUACUCUGGUAGUCCACGCCGUAAACGAUGUCAACUACCCGUUGGGAUCCUGUGAGAUCUUAGUGGCGCAGCUAACGCAUUAAGUUGACCGCCUGCGGAGUACGGCCGCAAGGUUAUAACUCCAAUGAAUUGACGGUGGCCCGCACAAGCGGUGGAG